rnacentral:rRNA from 1 species
AACCAGCACCUCAAGUGGUCAGGAUGAUUAUUGGGCCUAAAGCAUCCGUAGCCUGUUCUGUAAGUUUUCGGUUAAAUCUAUGCGCUCAACGUAUAGGCUGCCGAAAAUACUGCAGAACUAGGGAGUGGGAGAGGUAGACGGUACUCGGUAGGAAGGGGUAAAAUCCUUUGAUCUAUUGAUGACCACCUGUGGCGAAGGCGGCUUUCUGGUCUGUUACUGACGCUGAGAUACGAAAGCCAGGGGAGCAAAGGGG